GGGGUUCGGUGUAAAGAAAUAGGAAAAUAGAGAGAAAAAAGGAUUGAAAGAGCAGAUCCGAAAAUUUUUUGGAAUAAAAAGGUUUUUUCAGUGAUUCAUCUUUUAUUUUUAUUUUUUUAAUUUAUUUUUUCACUUAAAAUAUAAAAGGAAGGGGAGGGAAACUUACCUAGUCGCCGGAGUCGUCGAAUCGGCGCCACCUCCGUCGCAAUCGGAGCCUUGG
rnacentral:lncRNA from 1 species